rnacentral:rRNA from 1 species
CCUACGGGUGGCAGCAGUGGGGAAUUUUGGACAAUGGGCGCAAGCCUGAUCCAGCUAUUCCGCGUGUGGGAAGACGGCCUUCGGGUUGUAAACCACUUUUGUAGAGAACGAAAAGUCUAUUGAUAAUACCGAUAGAUGAUGACGGUACUCUAAGAAUAAGCACCGGCUAACUACGUGCCAGCAGCCGCGGUAAUACGUAGGGUGCGAGCGUUAAUCGGAAUUACUGGGCGUAAAGGGUGUGCAGGCGGUUUUGCAAGAUGGAUGUGAAAGCCCCGGGCUUAACCUGGGAAAGCCAUACAUGGCUGCAAGACUAGAGUGCGUCAGAGGGGGGUAGAAUUCCAAGUGUAGCAGUGAAAUGCGUAGAUAUUUGGAAGAACACCGAUGGCGAAGGCAGCCCCCUGGGACGCAACUGACGCUCAUACACGAAAGCGUGGGGAGCAAACAGGAUUAGAUACCCCUGUAGUC